rnacentral:rRNA from 1 species
CACGGGGGGAGCAAGCGUUGUUCGGAAUCACUGGGCGUAAAGGGCGUGUAGGCGGUCAAGUUAGUGGGACGUGAAAUGCCUCGGCUCACCCGAGGACCUGCGUCCCAAACUGCUUGGCUUGAGUAUGGGAGAGGAUGUGGGAAUUCCUGGUGUAGCGGUGAAAUGCGUAGAUAUCAGGAGGAACACCGGUGGCGAAGGCGCACAUCUGGCCCAAUACUGACGCUGAGGCGCGAAAGCUAGGGGAGCAAACGGG